GCCCGAGUAGCUCAGGGGAUAGAGCAGCGGCCUUCUAAUCCGCCGGUCGGGGGUUCGAAUCCCUCCUCGGGCG
rnacentral:tRNA from 1 species